rnacentral:misc_RNA from 1 species
GAAAAUAGUAUAUGGUUUUUUACAAGAAUUGUCAGUCAAGAGCACAUUCGAAAGAAUGCAAUACAUACAUGUAAAAGAAUCUAAUGACCUUGCAAACAAUUCUCGUCUUUACAAGUCAUCGAAAUGUAGGAUCCCAUGACUCUAAUAUGUGUUUCAAGAGAGAUCCUUCCAAGUGCAAAAAGUAGAAUUAUUAGGACGAAACGACCUAAAUCUAUAAACUCUUUGCAGUCUCUCACCUUAGUGUAUUAGCUCAGAGAAGGAAGGUGAAAAGAGCUUGGAAGAUUGAUUUUGCACUUCCCUGGAAUUUCAGAGGUUGAAAAUCUUCCUUGCUUGUCGAUAACAAACCAUUGAUAUAAUCCCCUUGUCUUCCCUUAGCUGCAUCUUUUAGAGGACCCCAACAUUCUACACGG